CCUACGGGAGGCAGCAGUGGGGAAUUUUGCGCAAUGGGGGAAACCCUGACGCAGCAACGCCGCGUGCGGGAUGACGGACCUCGGGAUGUAAACCGCUUUCGGCAGGGAAGAUAUUGACGGUACCUGCAGAAGAAGCUCCGGCUAACUACGUGCCAGCAGCCGCGGUAAUACGUAGGGAGCGAGCGUUAUCCGGAUUCACUGGGCGUAAAGCGCGCGUAGGCGGCAGCCUAAGCGGAACCUCUAAUCCCGGGGCUCAACCUCGGGCCGGGUUCCGAACCGGGCCGCCCGAG
rnacentral:rRNA from 1 species